GGUAAACUUAGUUUCUUUCCAACGAAGACUGGCUUUCUCUACCACAACAUCUCUACCACAACAUAGAAGUAGCCCAAACAUGUCUUGACUUGUUUUUUUCAGUCACCUCUAAAAAUGUCAUUGUUCCCAUGUCGAAGCUGUUUCAUAGUUUUGUUGACUUUGGCCAGAGCUAAAGAAUGCAGACAGAGAACGUCCUCUUUCAC